AUUACCCAGUCCCCCCCAUGUGCUUCCCCAUUCCUCCCAAUUUGCUCCCAGUGCUCCCUCGCCAGUUCGCCCAUUGCUCCCAGUUCCUCUCAUUGCUCCCAGUUCCCACCAUUGCUCCCAGUUCCCCCCAUUGCUCCCAGUUCCCUCCCAGUGCUCCCAGUUCCAUCCCAGUCCCUCCCAUUGCUCCCAGUUCCAUCCCAGUUUCCCCCCCAUUGCUCCCAGUUCCCCUCCCAUUGCUUACCAAGUUCCCAUCCCAUUGCUCCCCAGUCUCCCCCCAUUGCUCCCAGUUCCCUCCAGUUUGCUCCCAGUUCCCUCCCAUUGCUGCCGCCAGUUCCAUCCCAGUUCCCCCCCCAUUGCUCCCAGUUCCCUCCCAUUGCUCCCAGUUCCCUCCCAUUGCUCCCAGUUCCCCCCCAUUGCUCCCAGUUCCCUCCCAUUGCUCCCAGUUCCCAUUGGGAUGAUCCCCUAUUUACCUCACUUUUGGUCUCCCCCCACACCAGGCCAUUUACCAGCCCUGACCGUGGGCUCCUUUACUCACCUCCUUUGGAAGCUGCUCUGGAUGCUGACAAAGACUUUGUUCACAGGGGUUGGAUGAUCCUGAGAGGGGGAAAACGAGGCGCUAAUGUGGAAUGGAGCUGGGGGGGGGGGAUGUGUGUUAGGGGGGGUUGGGGGACACCAAAGGCUCUGCCUUGCUCCAUAACACAGCCCAAACACAGUGUGACCCCACAAUUAGGCCCUAAUCAAAAGCUUAGACCCCAAUCCCGUACUUGGGCCCCAACCUCACUCUCAGGCCCAAGUCCCACACUUGGGCCCCAACCCCACAUUUAUUCCUUAAUCCCACACUUUGGCCCCACACUCAGGCCCUGCCCCAGGCCCCAACCCCACACUUGGGCCCCAAUCCCACACCUGGGCCCCCAACACAGGCCCCAACCCCACACUUAGGCCCCAACCCCAAACUCAGACCCUAAUCCCACACUUAGGCCUCAUGCUCAGGCCCUGCCCCAGGCCCCAACCCCACAUUGGACCCCCAACCCCACAUUCAGGCCUUGCUUCAGGCCCCAACCCCACACUUGGGCCCUGUCCCAGGCCCCAGACCCACACUUGGGACCCCAACCCCACACUCAGGUCUUGCCCCAACCCCACAUUGGACCCCCAACCCCACAUUCAGGCCUUGCUUCAGGCCCCAACCCCACACUCAGGCCCCCAACCCCACACUUAGGCCCUAAUCCCACCCUUAGACCCCAACCCCACAUUUAGGCCCUAAUCCCACACUUAGGCCCCAUACUCAGGCCCUGUCCCAGGCCCCAACCCCACACUUGGGCCCUAAUCCCACACUUGGGACCCCAACCCCACACUCAGGCCUUGCCUCAAGCCCCAACCCCACACUCAGGCCCCCAACCCCACACUUGGGCCCCAACCCCACACUUAGGCCCUAACCCCACACUUGGACCCCUAACCCCACAUUGGACCCCCAACCCCACACUUAGGCCCUGUCCCAGGCCCCCAACCCCACACUUGGGCCUUUAACCCCACUCCUGGGCCCCCAACCCCACACUCAGGUCCUAAUCCCACCCUUAGACCCCAACCCCACACUUAGGCCUUGCCUCAGGCCCCAACCCCACACUUGGGCCCUGUCCCAGGCCCACAACCCCAUACUUGGACCCCAACCCCACACUUAGGCCCCAACCCCUAAUCCCACUCUUGGCCCCCAACCACAUACUCAGGCCCUGCCCCAACCCCAACCCCAUACUUGGGACCCCAACCCCACAUUCAGGCCCUGUCCCAGGCCCACAACCCCACAAUUGGGACCCCAACCCCACACUUGGGCCCUAAUCCCACACUUGGGCCCCCAACCCCACAUUCAGGCCUUGCUUCAGGCCUCAACCCCACACUCAGGCCCCCAACCCCACACUUGGGUCCCCAACCCCACACUCAGGCCCCA
rnacentral:lncRNA from 1 species